ensembl:lncRNA
CCAGCCCCCACUCUUAAUCUGCACAGCUCUCUCCUCUCAUGCUCGAUAGGAACUUCCUGUAGACAUUUGCCAGUUUCUCUAAAAAUCUCUUCUUCUAUGAUGGCUACGAAAAGCUUUCUAAAGACCACUGUUUGGUAUUUAUGAGGCUGAUUGUGUCCCCACGGUCCCUUGGCCCCGGACCUGUACUGUAGCUGCCUGUGCAGGACCAGUGUCAUGUCUGUCCUCUGCACUGCACCUGGAGGGGAUGGUCCAGUAUGAGACAUACUGUGCAAGACUGCAAUUAAAGAAGUGAGCAAGUGCUCAGAGCAACGCUGGGGAAGGUACUUACUGGAGCACUGGUAGGAGAAAUCAAGAAAUUCCUCUAAAAUCUGAGAACUCAUCCCGACUCAGAAGAGUGAGAAACACCCCUGCUGCCUCCACCCACCCCAUCACCUGCUCCUUGGAGGACCCAUUUUACAGCAGUACAAGAGGCGUGAACUUGACACCACGUACAAAUUGUUCAAGAUGAGCCCAUGUUCAGCACAUGCUGGGAGGAGGACCUGACAGCUCUGCUGGCACAGAACCAACGCGGCUGGGCAAUGCGAGCCACUCUGCUGAUCACACCAUUCCUUAAUAGAGAUAUCUCCAGGAGAAACAUGCUAAUGUCAGUUGGAGAGGACGUCUCUUCCCCUCAUCUCAAAG